rnacentral:rRNA from 1 species
GAUGGAGGGGGAUAACUACUGGAAACGGUAGCUAAUACCGCAUAACGUCGCAAGACCAAAGUGGGGGACCUUCGGGCCUCACACCAUCGGAUGUGCCCAGAUGGGAUUAGCUUGUAGGCGGGGUAACGGCCCACCUAGGCGACGAUCCCUAGCUGGUCUGAGAGGAUGACCAGCCACACUGGAACUGAGACACGGUCCAGACUCCUACGGGAGGCAGCAGUGGGGAAUAUUGCACAAUGGGCGCAAGCCUGAUGCAGCCAUGCCGCGUGUAUGAAGAAGGCCUUCGGGUUGUAAAGUACUUUCAGCGGGGAGGAAGGUGUUGAGGUUAAUAACCUCAGCAAUUGACGUUACCCGCAGAAGAAGCACCGGCUAACUCCGUGCCAGCAGCCGCGGUAAUACGGAGGGUGCAAGCGUUAAUCGGAAUUACUGGGCGUAAAGCGCACGCAGGCGGUCUGUUAAGUCAGAUGUGAAAUCCCCGGGCUUAACCUGGGAACUGCAUUUGAAACUGGCAGGCUUGAGUCUCGUAGAGGGGGGUAGAAUUCCAGGUGUAGCGGUGAAAUGCGUAGAGAUCUGGAGGAAUACCGGUGGCGAAGGCGGCCCCCUGGACGAAGACUGACGCUCAGGUGCGAAAGCGUGUGGGAGCAAACAGGGAUUAGAUACCCUGGUAGUCCACGCCGUAACGAUGUCGACUUGGAGGUUGUUCCCUUGAGGAGUGGCUUCCGGAGCUAACGCGUUUAAGUCGACCGCCUGGGGAG